rnacentral:rRNA from 1 species
GGGUGGUAAUGCCGGAUGCUCCGGUUGGAUGCAUGUCCUUCCGGGAAAGAUCCGUCGGUAUGGGAUGGGGUCGCGUCCUAUCAGCUUGAUGGCGGGGUAACGGCCCACCAUGGCUUCGACGGGUAGCCGGCCUGAGAGGGCGACCGGCCACAUUGGGACUGAGAUACGGCCCAGACUCCUACGGGAGGCAGCAGUGGGGAAUAUUGCACAAUGGGCGCAAGCCUGAUGCAGCGACGCCGCGUGCGGGAUGGAGGCCUUCGGGUUGUAAACCGCUUUUGAUCGGGAGCAAGCCCUUCGGGGUGAGUGUACCCUUCGAAUAAGCACCGGCUAACUACGUGCCAGCAGCCGCGGUAAUACGUAGGGUGCAAGCGUUAUCCGGAAUUAUUGGGCGUAAAGGGCUCGUAGGCGGUUCGUCGCGUCCGGUGUGAAAGCCCAUCGCUUAACGGUGGGUCUGCGCCGGGUACGGGCGGGCUGGAGUGCGGUAGGGGAGACUGGAAUUCCCGGUGUAACGGUGGAAUGUGUAGAUAUCG